GGCGCUGUUCUCCCACUCCUGCCGACGGCGCGGCGGCGUGGCACAUGCUUGGAGAAGCGAAUACAUCGGAGCCCUACAAGAAGCCCGAUAAGAUGCAUUUCUUCUCUGCGACAGAUGGACGCUUGAAUUGGCUUGAGGACGAAUUCCCGCAGUACCUUGAGAGUCUCCACAGUGCCUGCAAAUCAAGUGGAAAAAAAUUCCUAAGCCCAGAAACUUACGAGGCACUGCUGCUCACAAGCAAGUCUUCUGUUCUUUGUAUUAAGUACUUGCUGGAGAGUGGGUUCUUUUAUGUCCUCACGAGAAAUCUGUCAAGUGAUCCGGUUGAGGUCCUGUUCAGUGCUAUGCGUCAAAUGGCGGGUUGCAAUGACUGUCUAGACGCUAGAGCUGUCACCUUCGGCCUUGAAAAGUUACUCCGGACUGGCAUCCUGUGUGCAUCGCAGGCAUCAAAUGUUGGAAAUGGUCAGAUUGUUAUGAGGUAAGCACACAAGUUUUGCUGCAAAGUUAAGUGUAUUUCACUGUAUAUGAAGUUCUUGCGGUUUAAUUUCACUUGUUCACUAAUGCUAGUCUGUGCUGAACAUGCUAGAAAAUUUUCUUGGCAUUUUUUCCUUCUGGUAUGUCAUUUCUGUCAUAUUCAUUUUUUUUUGUUCUCCAGCAUGUACAGUGCUUCUACAUCAACCCAAUUGAGCAGAGUUGAUCCAGCUGUGCCGAGCGGGACAUCUUCAGGACUGGACACAUCGAGCAUUCCUCAGAACACCUCGGCUAAAACCAGUAGUGCACUACUCAGGUAUGCACAUCCCCUGCAGCACCAUUUAUUUGAUGUCAGUUUUUCAAAAAGGACGCGCGCUUCCUUUGGUUCUUUUACCUCUGUACACCACAUACAGUGGUAACCAACUUCUUGUUCUUGCACUGUUUUGUUUUUCAGCUUGUCUGAACCACCCGAUAUUGCGGAUGAUCAAAGCAGUGUGUCAGCAGCAACUAGCGAUUUCCUACUUUCAAGCUAGUGCUGUUUCCCCAUGCUUUUGCACCUUUUUCAUGCCGGUCACUAAUAUGUAGUUUCUGUACCGUUUUGUUUUCUAGCAUUUGUGAACCACCGAGUUUCGUGGAUGAUGUCAACAGUUUGCUGGCGCCCUUGAAAGUGAUGCCCUUGCAGCGGCCGCCUUCAACAGUAGAAACCGCUGGUUUCUACUGCCGGUUUCGUCGUGAAAGCGAUAGAAGAACAAAGGAUGUGCAGCGCCUGCCCGAGACUGAAUGAUUCGGAACCAUCAAUAUCACCAGUGAUGGGACUUAUUAACCACCGAACUAGAGGGGGUUUGGUGUUCCCAAAGCCCGAGGUUGUAGCUGUUCUUGUAAAAGUAAGGCCAUCGACAUCGCAGUGCCACGUAUUGGCACAAACGAUGUGUGCAAGAAGAUCACGGCAAUGAUUUUGCCGCAUCUGGAGAGUUGUCCUCUAUUUAUAUGCGAGGCAAGAGAAGACCAUGCCUCGGUCACAUCGUCAAUAGUGGCAAAGAAAUUCAUAAAGCCCCUCCUAUCAAACAUUGUUGCUCUUGUUACGGACAGAGUGGCCUAUCGCAAAAAAUUAAUCACUAAGCCGCUCAGUCGAAAGGUUUUGCGCGUUAAACAGCUCGAGCGCGCGCGAGCUGACAACCUUUUAUUGUAAAUAAAUUCCUGCAUACACUGACUUUGUUAUGCUGGUAAUUUUUACCACGAAUAUAGUCAUGAUAUUCAAGUACACAGACUAAUCAGAGCGACAGGACGUUGCCCUCCGCGGCUGUCGACUCUGGUGAGCAGAUUCUCUCGUACAGGAGGAACAGUGAUGAGCUCGCCUAAGGAAUAUAAAAUUGACAGCUCAGCGUGCAACAUCGCCUGCCCAUUUUCUUCAUAGUACAAUUGCCAUUUUCCUUCCAGGCUGUUUUUUGACUGGUAAAGACGUUCUGACCGAGCUUGUACGUCAUGCACAAACGUUCAUGAAUUCACAGGGGAAAAAAUUACUACUGCGUUGCCUCGUGAGACGUGGCACUUCUUUUAUAAAGAAGCAAUGCCUUUCCAUACUUCCAUGCUUUCAUUGGCCUGCUGCGCCCAAAACCCGCAGAUAUGAUCGUUUUCCGGGGAGCACUCGUUUCGCAUGGCAUCAUGAGUGCCCGCUUCGGGCAACAUGCGGCCGCAGCGUCUGGAGCUUAGUAAGAAAAUAAAUACCUAGCCGCAGGAGUAAUUGGUGUUCUUGUGUAAAUUUGUAUUCAUCGCGGUUUUCCGCCACUCUUCAUCACGCAAUACGUCCAAGGCGCCGCAAAUCGCCUCUUGCGAAGCCAUAGCAGGGGAGGCGAGGGGUCGGGCACGCGCGCCGCGGUGCGGCGAAAAGAGCGGCCGCGCCACUCUCCGCAAUUACGCCCUCUCCGUCCGAAUGGAACGGCCGGAGCAAGCCCCGUGCGCGCGUGAUCGAGGCGGCCGUGUCGCACGCAUAGAGUUUCUCACUAUAUUACCUAGAGGGAAACCUGGCGCCACCGUCUAUGGGAGUUUCUUAAGGGGGCACCGUGCCGUCAUGGGAUUGAUGGUAUUAUAAUGGUAUGUGUCUGCGAGGCUUGUGUUGGCUGGUGUUGUAAGAGGCUUCGUCUAGAACGUGGAUAUGACUGCAAAAACCAAGAUUUAUAGAACAAUUUAUGCGCAAAAGGCCUGAAAUGUCUCAUAAUAAAUAUUGUGUACAUUUUUUAUGCUUACCGACAAUUCAAAAUGAAGACAAGGCGAGAAGUUAGUACAAGAAAAAUUUGACCUGCGCUUUGCUAGAGCACGACCUGUGGUUUCUCUUCCAGAUUUAGCCAUGCGCUGGUAAAGUUUUUUGGCAUUUAAUAAUUAUACCUCGUGUUCCUUGUGCUUGUCAUAUUAUUAAUUAGCAUUUGAAAUAAUGCAAAGUAGUUGAUUUGAUACGAUGUAUUGUUCGUGUGAAAAGAAAGUCGAGUUUCUGUCGUCUGCUCCAGUAUGUGCCCGCGCAAAGUGCCGGUACUUGAACCGCCGUAACGAUGUCCUGGCGUUGCGCUUACUUGUUUUGCUUGCAAAAGUACGAACCUGGAAGGGGAGAGGUGUCGUACCACAGGUGAGCGACAGAGAAUGCCUCAUCGGGCAGAUUGUUUCGGAUAUUAGAAAGAAAACGGAGCAAAGUGCUGAAUGCGACGAAGGAGCGGAAGCGCUAAUCGUUCAUUGUUCCCGUGUCAAUAACCACUGUUCGCGCAGUUUUAUUUUUCUUAAGUCACGGUAUUCCUGUUGCAUUAACUAAACUUUAAACAAAUAUUUGCCUAGACGCAAUCACAAGCGCUGCAAGAUGUCAGACAGAAAAUCAAAGCAUUCUGCGAAACCAUUUCCGAAUGUUGAGCAAAGUCACUCGCUUAACCAGCAUUCGCAGAAGGGUGAAAAAAGAAAGAAUCUCAGUGCCCUUCCACUCUGUGAAGCAUGACCAGCGAAGAUGUGCAUGGGAGCCCCUUAAUGGCGAACUGCACCUCCGCCGCGGCUCGGGCCGGUAUUACACUAUCUCCGGGUCGGCCCACGUAUGGGUUUUUUUUUUUUUUUUUGCUUACCACGACACGAAAAUUUCCUUGGACGGUAGAGGUAUACAGCUUCGCUGUAAAAGCAGCGAAGAGGAAGCACAAUCACAGUGCGUCAACAUCUAUUCUAUCGCGGCUUUAUUUGUACUUUUUUCCCUUGCUUUAACUCAUGCAGGUUCCCUCUGGAAAACCCAGCUCUCUUGCAGAAAUGGCUUGAAGCAAUGGGAACACCAGAUUUCAAACCUUUAGGUCACCACCUGCUGUGCUCCACACACUUCAAGCCAGCUGACUUCAGGAGUGGCCUGCGUAAACGCCUGCUGCUUGAACGCGCUGUUCCAUCGCAGUUUGAACGUCCAAAUGCCACUGAAAGCACACAUGAUGUGCCACGGUCCAGCAGCCAUGCAGUCCCGGCCAAGCAAGCGUUCCCAACAAGCCCUGAUAAUUCACCAAAGCUAUCAAGCAGUGUUCCAGCUACAGCACCCAGCACCUUUGACCAUGACUACUGCUCGUGAGAUUGCCCGGAAGUAAAAGCGAAGAGGCUGGGAGACAUGCUGACAACCGCUAGAAAAAAGAUAAAGGCACUUGGCAUGAGGACAGCUUGAGUCAAAGAGAAAAAUGAGAGCCUGCAGAGUAUCAUAGCUAACAUGAAAGAGAGGAACAUUCUCUCAGAUGAAGCAGAAAGGAAACUGGAAGAAUUUGGAAACCUACCGUUGGAAAUUAUACAGAGCUGGAGUAAAAAUGUUGCAGAACAGCCUUGUGGGAGAAGGUACAGUGAUGAGAUGAAGAAAUUUGCAUCAACAGUGCACUACUAUUCUCCACGAGCAUACGAGUACCUGAGCACAUUGUUUCCUAUGCCAAGUGUGCAGGCCAUCAGGAAGUGGCUCAGGGUCGUGCAAGGGUGGCCAGGCUUCACAGCUGAAGUUUUGGAAGACUUGAAGGUUUGUCAUAAAAAUGAUGCCCCAAGAGAGCGCCUGUGUAGCAUUGUGCUCGAUGGCAUGAGCAUAAAGAAAGCUUGCGAGCUUGACAUUGCAACUGGCCGCCUCAUUGGCUUUGUUGAGCUGGGUCAUAGCCAAGAGCCCAGUGAUGCAGAUGAUGUGCCAUUGGCCACUGAUGCACUUGUCUUCAUGGUGGUCGGGCUUGCAGCACCCUGGAAGAUGCCAUUUGGUUAUUUCCUGACUGCUGGUCUCUCUGGAGAAGUGCUCAAGAACCUGCUAAUUGAAGCAAUCCACUGCAUCAGUGAAUGUGGGCUGCAUGUUGUGGCUGUUGUAUGCGACUGCCUUGCCGCUAAUGUGGCUAUGGCAAAGCUACUCGGCUGCCGCAUGCAUGAGCAGUCGUUCGAGGCACUCAAGACUUUUUUCCGACAUCCAAGCAAAGCAGAGGACAUCAUCUUCAUGAUUUUUGAUGCCUGCCAUGGGCUAAAGCUUCUGCGGAACCUCCUUGGGGACAAAGGUGCUCUCCUGAGCGGCACGUACGGGGUAAGAAAUGUCACUUUUCACAUAGGUGCUGUAAAAAAAUGCACCGAUCGAUGAAAGGCUCCAUUCACUGAUAAAUCUUACUCAUCGUGGUUGCUUAGUGGCUAUGGUGUUAGGCUGCUAAGUAUGAGGUCACGGGAUCGCAUCUUGGCCAUGGCGGCCGCAUUUCGAUGUGGGCGAAAUGCGAAAACACCCGUGUACUUACAUUUAGGUGCGCGUUAAGGAACCCCAGGUGGUCCAAAUUUCCAGAGUUCCCCACUACGGUGUGCUUCAUAAUCAGAAAGUGGUUUUGGCAUGUAAAGCCCCAUAAUGUGAUAAAUCUUGUUUUUUCCAUGCAUGUUGUGUUUAAAUGAGGUUUAUUCGGGUUUAAAAUUUCUACCUUAGGAGCGGCAUAAUACAUGCUGCACUGACAUUACAGUUUCUCUUAACACAUGCUUUUGAAAAAUCUCCCGGCUUGGCAAUCAUGCUUUUUAAAAUGCGACUAAUUUUUUUAUUAGAAGUUUAGAAAAUACCUUACUCACAGUAUUAGGACCACGAUAACAUACACAGACAAGCCAUUAGUUUGUACCUUUUAGACAAACAACUAUCUUUCUGAACUGUUGGCUAUUCUGCUAUUGCUGGCUUAAUGUAGUUAUAGACUUUAUUAAUACUCAACUAGUUUCUUAUGUUAAAUUCAAAAGCCAUUUAGACAAAUUACCUCAUAGGCAGAUGCUAUGCAGUUUUAAAUACUACUAAGCAGUAGUUGUGUACACUCAGUUUGUCAAAUCUUACUAUUAGUCUUUACUUUUUUCACUGUUCAUCACUGCUGAAGUGCUGAUGAUGCAUUGACACAACCACCGUGAUACCUCCUUAAACUGGUUAGUAACCUAGCGCAGCGUGAAGAAAGCGAGCGAUAAUGAUUGUUAGGGGUGGAGUAUUUUUGCUAGCGUAAAUAAAGGCUUCCCUUCCUACUUUCGGGAACCAGAGGCUGAGGCAGCAUCCCACUUGGCUUCUCUUUUGAAGCAGCACUGAAGGAAGCAAGUGUAGUAACACCAGAAUGCUUGUUAGAACCUUAACUGUAUAAUGCAUAUGGUUGCUGACCUAGUCCUGCAAAUAUUACACAAUGCUAACAAAAAUGAUGUGCACUUUGUGCCAAUGCAAGAAACAAGGUGGUAGGUUGUAUGUAACUGUACAGCACAAUUAUAGAAGGAACUCCAAAUGUGAUAAGAUUCACACAAUGAUGACGCCAACAGCAUCAAGUCUGGCUUUCCAUUAAGUCUAUAGAUACACAGGAGACGAUAUAUCAGAAGAGACACAUGGAUUUCUAAUAUUAGAAACACUAGUACCCAAUAAAACACUGAAGUGGAUGAAUACAAAAAGGCACUGUACUAUCAGACUAAGAAUCAGCUUUUAUUAUGCAUCAGAUAUGUUACAUCUACAUGAUAUCUACAGUUAUCUAUCACUUGCAGCGUCUGUGGUCCAAAUAAACAAGCAAUAAGAACAUGUCAAUGGCACUUAAUUACAGAAUUACAGGUCAAAGAAAAACAAGAAGGUUGUGUUAAAACAUAUUAUUAAUGCAGGGUCCAUUAAGGUUAUGUGGCAACAAAAUCCAAAACUUACAGAAAACAGCAGAAUAGUUGCUGUAGUUAGUCUCGGCCAUAGGAAGCAAACAGUUACUAUAGGAAGCAAGUUGCAUGGACCUCGAAUGGGGAAGGUGCUUUUUCUGUAAUAAUUUAAGAUGAACCUUUCCGUUCUAGAAUUUGUUCACCAGAACAUCGAGUGAGCAUUUGUGAAACUUUUUGCACAGAUAUGCUGUGAAUGUGUAGAUGUAAGCAGACAUACUUAGUUGUCAGACUAAUGUCUCAGGGUUAGCAAAGAAGCAAUUGCAUUGCUACAUCCUUUUAUAUCACAGAGAGUGCUGUGGAAGCACGUCAAGGCGCUGCAACAGCUGCAGGAGAAGGAAGGCCUGCGUGCAGCUAACAAGCUGUCAAAGGCACACAUCAAUUACUACCAACAGGUGAGGCAACCCUAAAAUAAUGCAUGUAUAACUUCUGCAGAUCUUCCUUCCUUGCCUCCAACAGGUCAUGAAAGUGAAGUUGGCAGCGCAGACAUUCAGCAGCUCUGUCAGCAAGGCGCUGGAGUUCGCUUCUUUGCUGAAGCUGCCAGGCUUUAGCAACUGCAUGGGCACUGCCAACUUCAUAGCCAUGGUGGACUGGUAAGGGUACUAAUGAAGCAUUUUCCAUGCAUGUUAUUUCCAUUUCAGUAAAUAUGCUGUCCUAACAUUAGCUAGAAUGAAUGUGCUAAGCAAGCAUUUCAUAAAAUCACAUGUGGAUUUCUAAUGGCAUAGGUUCCGGUUUUCACAAACUAUAUGAUGCUUUAUGAAGUGAUGCAUGCAGCUCGUGACACAAAUAACUCAUUAGGUGCUUUUUCCUCUCAAUAUGAAAACCUGCCUUAUUCACACAGCCAAACAUAUAAAUAUUAAUACAUGUACCUGAAACAAUGGUGCAGUAAGCCAUGCAAGCUUAGCGUGCAAAACGAAGCAAGGCCUUGAGUAUAUAAUGCUGCCUUCAGUAGCCUUCAGCUUUCAUGCAAGUACUACAUGCUCGAAUAUUAAUAUCAUGUGACUGUUUCUAUGUUAGCAUUUGUAUGUAGCAUUUGAAUGUUAGCAUUUAACUGUACUAGCAGUUCUUUUUCAUAAACUACAAUUUUAAACAUGGAGUCACGACAUGUUUAAAACAUAACAUAACACGACAUGUUUAACAAUAAGCACAUUUAUAGGCACAGAAAAGAGAGGCCAGGCCCGAAGUGUAACUAGAGAUGAAAUUUGGAUGGCUUUGCAAAAUAUAUUGGAGAGAAGAGAAUGGUACAAUAGUGGACUUAAUGAACCAGCUGAGAUACUGUACAUAAAAUACUGGUAAUCAUGCACAUGCACACUACGCAACUUCAAAUGCACCAGAAAUCUAAAGGGAUGCUUACAUAGUACUACACCAUAAUCAAUAAUGUUGGUUGUCCAUAAAGAAAGAAAGAAAAAUAAUGACACAAUAAUUUGCUGUCUGUAUUACACAUAAUCACGAUGAUGAUAAGAGAGAAGCAGAGAGACAUGCUAAGUAAGGCGCACAGUGCUGACCAAGGCAAUAUGUAUAAGAUGAAAAGAUGUUUCAGUUCCCCCAUGAGAACCUUGUACACAAUUACCGGCUGUUCACAAUGACUCGCUUAUGACCUUGUGAACGACGACCUAGUCAAUGUGAACAAGGCACCCAUGGGAGGGUCGAAACGAAUUUUAUUGCAAUACAUAUUGCCUUGGUCGUCACUGUGCUUAUUAUGUAUCAUUAUGUCUCCCUACUUAUUUCGUAUCACCAUAGCGAAUGUUAUGUUUACAGACAGCAAAUUAAUGCGUCAUUGGUAUUUUUUAAUUAUGGACAACCAACAUUACUGACCAAUAAGAACAGUAUCAAACAACCAAUGUAAGUUGGAAAUGUGUUCUAUUGCUUGAAGAAGGAUAGGACAUGUACCUGUUAAUUUUAUGUGCAUUUAUGGCUACUUUAUGUCACACCAUAACCUAAUUUUACUGGUUGUGUCCUUGCUUCUAUAUGUCCAUUCCCUCACUCAAUAAAAGGCAUUUGAUAUAAUAUCCACUUCAUCAUUAAUGUUGCACAUGUGACUCAUUAGAAGUGUCUACUGACACAUGUCUGAAGUUAAUGCCUUGGCGUCACACAUUAGACACACAUCAGCAUUGAUGUGUCUGCACUGUCUCUACCUGCAUGAAAGGUUGUGCCAGUUUUUUUCCCCCAAGGUAUCUAUACCAACCUGCCGAAAUGUCAGCCAUUCUUUACAGAACUGAGAAGACAUUUUGGACCGAUGCAGAAAAAAGAGCAAUUUAAGGUGUCUUGUAGAAGCUGUAUUCCUGUGGCAGUGUGUUCUCGUGACACUGAAAACAACACUGUCUACAAUAACGCCAGCAUGCCACAACAUAAUUUUUAAGACUGUUGCUCAUAUUUUGUCAGCCAUUACAAUGUGAAACAUAUGGCGGCUAGCAAUAGAAUUUGGAUGGAUCGCAUUUGUUAGAUCUGCUGGUCUACUGCAGUCAUAGUCAUAGACGUAUUCCUGCUGAUAAUUAUCAAUAACACUGCGUGGGUUCUCUUGCAAGUACUGUAUGAUUAAAAUUAUCCACCUCUGAUGCGUAAUAAAUUCAUCAUUCCCCAGUAAGUAUUUCUAAGAAACCUUGUAAAAAAUGGAAAACAGUUUUUAAACCAUGCACCAAC